UGGGGAAUAUUGCACAAUGGGCGCAAGCCUGAUGCAGCCAUGCCGCGUGUAUGAAGAAGGCCUUCGGGUUGUAAAGUACUUUCAGCGGGGAGGAAGGGAGUAAAGUUAAUACCUUUGCUCAUUGACGUUACCCGCAGAAGAAGCACCGGCUAACUCCGUGCCAGCAGCCGCGGUAAUACGGAGGGUGCAAGCGUUAAUCGGAAUUACUGGGCGUAAAGCGCACGCAGGCGGUUUGUUAAGUCAGAUGUGAAAUCCCCGGGCUCAACCUGGGAACUGCAUCUGAUACAGGCAAGCUUGAGUCUCGUAGAGGGGGGUAGAAUUCCAGGUGUAGCGGUGAAAUGCGUAGAGAUCUGGAGGAAUACCGGUGGCGAAGGCGGCCCCCUGGACAAAGACUGACGCUCAGGUGCGAAAGCGUGGGGAGCAAACAGG
rnacentral:rRNA from 1 species